rnacentral:rRNA from 1 species
CCAGACUCCUACGGGAGGCAGCAGUGAGGAAUAUUGGUCAAUGGGCGGGAGCCUGAACCAGCCAAGUCGCGUGAGGGACGACGGUCCUAUGGAUUGUAAACCUCUUUUGUCGGGGAACAAAGGCGCCCACGGGUGGGCGGAUGAGUGUACCCGAAGAAAAAGCAUCGGCUAACUCCGUGCCAGCAGCCGCGGUAAUACGUAGGUGGCAAGCGUUAUCCGGAUUUAUUGGGUGUAAAGGGCGUGUAGGCGGGAAUGCAAGUCAGAUGUGAAAACUAUGGGCUCAACCCAUAGCCUGCAUUUGAAACUGUAUUUCUUGAGUGCUGGAGAGGCAAUCGGAAUUCCGUGUGUAGCGGUGAAAUGCGUAGAUAUACGGAGGAACACCAGUGGCGAAGGCGGAUUGCUGGACAGUAACUGACGCUGAGGCGCGAAAGCGUGGGGAGCAAACAGGAUUAGAUACCCUCGUAC